AUUGAACGCUGGCGGAAUGCUUUACACAUGCAAGUCGAGCGGCAGCGCGGGGCAACCUGGCGGCGAGCGGCGAACGGGUGAGUAAUACAUCGGAACGUGCCCAGACGUGGGGGAUAACUACUCGAAAGAGUGGCUAAUACCGCAUACGAUCUACGGAUGAAAGCGGGGGAUCGCAAGACCUCGCGCGUCUGGAGCGGCCGAUGGCAGAUUAGGUAGUUGGUGGGAUAAAAGCCUACCAAGCCAACGAUCUGUAGCUGGUCUGAGAGGAUGAUCAGCCACACUGGGACUGAGACACGGCCCAGACUCCUACGGGAGGCAGCAGUGGGGAAUUUUGGACAAUGGGCGAAAGCCUGAUCCAGCCAUUCCGCGUGCAGGAUGAAGGCCCUCGGGUUGUAAACUGCUUUUGUACAGAACGAAAAGCUCUGGCUAAUACCUGGAGUCCAUGACGGUACUGUAAGAAUAAGCACCGGCUAACUACGUGCCAG
rnacentral:rRNA from 1 species